UCAUAACAGCCUAUGUGGCUAUCUUGUGGCGUGUGACACCGUGUAGACGGCCUGCGUCUCUCUGAUUGCUUGCUUAGUGUACUUUCCAGUCCUGAAGAUGGAAACUUCAGUAAACUACCAGACUACAUCCCGUCACCGAUUUCAGGGCUUCAUGUCCAACAACCGCAUCAAAAACAUCGCUUGCAAACCAAUUAGAACGCAAUUAUCUGCUCAUUUACACAAACGAAUCGUCCAUUACCACUUUACUCUUUCCCGCACUGAUCUCCAUCCUGAGCCAGAUGAAUCCAGCCCACACCAUCCAACUACAAUUAAUCAAAAUUCGUGUUAAUAUUAUCCUCCUAUCUUAAUCUUGGUCUGGAAAAUGGUACCUGUAUUUCAGGUUGUGUUUGAAAUCGUGUGCGUAUUUCACAGAGCGUACUACAUUCCUGGCCCAUCUCAUCAUUCUCGAUUUCGUUAUCUAAAAUAUUUGGUCAUAGAGCAAAAAUUACAAAGUUCUUCACUACAUCUUCUUCAUCGCCCCUCGUCCACAAACUUCCCUCUGACCCCGUUCUCACUGGAGAGAACAGCCCACAGAGUCUGUUGGCAGCUCUGACGGCUGUGAGCCCGGGGAAGUUCCUGCAGUCGCUCUGUACAGCAACUGCUGUUACUGUCAGUUCAUACUGUCCAUAUGCAACUAGCAUCGCCUCAGUGCCUCAGGCAGGCAGUUAGACUCUGGCCUGUCAUACGGGGCUUACCACCAUUUUUUCUUGUGUCCUUACAAUCAUCAUUCCACCAUUGUCCCAUACUCAACCAUCACCGCCCCCUGAAAUGUGCAGUAGCCUUGAACAGGCAGCACCUUAUCAUAUAGUCGGUCUUUAGGUUUGGGAACUGCAACUCCUUCAAGAAGUGGAAGUUAGGAAACUGAGCUCCAAUCAAUGAGAUUAUUAGGAGCACGAGAAGGGCGGCGAAUGUAGCACGCGAGUCAAGAAAUACACACAGCGUUACAGUAAACCAGGAUUACGAUCAUAAACAGCAUGAACCCGUCAGUUUUUGUAAGGCAGAUGCAGUGCGUUUACUGCGAGGUACGGCUCCACCGUCUCUGCUUGUCACGUCUAGACGUGACGAUACUGCGCACAACCAGAAUACAGUGGGAUAGGUCAUGAUAAGGGCGAGCGAAAAAAGCGCGGUACUAUGGGUAACUGCUGUUACAUGACUUACAGCAGAAUGACGCCAUGUUGCCGUCAAGGUGGACGCAGCUGCUCGCAGUGUAUCGCAUUUUAGCGACUUCGAGGAAGUAGUCGUUGACGUAGUCUCACUUUUGCAGUUGUCUUGGGCGCCACCCCAGUCGGGGAACAUGAAACUAUCACAUGGGCCGUUAAAUGGGCCUUGGCUUCAACGAGGCGGUCAAACAAAACCCGCGUCAAACUUCACAACACGUACACUUUAUUUAACUUUGGUUAAUUACAUCGCUAUUACGUUUGUAUUGAGGACUAUAUGUAGUCCUUCGUUCCCCUUUGCGGAAGAACACGGUUCGAGUAUUUGGAACAGUGAAUUGCGUCAUCACGCUACUGUCGCUAAGCAUGAAACUCUCGUUUCUUAUUGGCCAUACGUUACGAAGUACUGCGCUAACUGCCUUAUGAAGCUCUUACAUCAUUGCCUCACUGAACAGAGGGAGAGCCCCUAAAUUAUCAGCAUCAUAAGGAGUCAUGCACCAUUACAUCAUCCUCCAUCUAAUGUAGAGCCUAUAGCGUGACAAUUUACGCAAUUCCCUCAAAUUCAUAAUUUGAGUUUUGUAAAUUACAAUAGUUACAUAAAAAUACAAAUGUGUACAUAAAUUGGGCGAAGUAUAUUACUAAAAAGGAGUAAUCGUUUACAGUGUCUAUGUGAAUUUACGACAACUGAGAACCUCGGAUAGAGAAGACCAAAUAUCGCAGUAGGCAAAAGCCGAUACAGAAAGGCGACGAAUUACUGCUGUAUUACGUUGGAGAAUGCUUGUUACUCUGGCUUUGUUGGUUUUUUUUUCAGUUACGUUAUGGCCCACCGAAGGAACAAGAAAA